rnacentral:tRNA from 1 species
CGCGGGAUAGAGCAGUCGGUUAGCUCGUCAGGCUCAUAAUCUGAAGGUCGGGGGUUCGAAUCCCUCUCCCGCAA